GUCGGGGUGGCUCAGCCUGGUGGAGCGUCGGACUCAUAGGGAGAGCUUCUUGACCAGAUGCUCCUAGGACAUCCGGAGGUCACGGGUUCGAACCCCGUCCCCGACA
rnacentral:tRNA from 1 species